UACAGAGGGUGCAAGCGUUUGUUCGGAAUUAUUGGGCUGGUAAAGACGCGUGUAGGCGGCUUGUUAGUUGUCGGGUGUGGAAAGCCCUCAGCUCAACUGAGGAAGUGCGCCCGAAACUGGCAGCUUGAGUGCCGGAGAGGAUAGCGGAACACCCGGUGUAGAGGUGAAAUUCGUAGAUAUCGGGUAGAACACCAGUGGCGAAGGCGGCUAUCUGGACGGACACUGACGCUGAGACGCGAAAGCGUGGGGAGCAAACAGG
rnacentral:rRNA from 1 species